UAAAAGAUACAAGUUAGCGCAAAAAUAUCUUGACGGCGCGAGAAUAUCCACACCGCGAACACUUUGGAAGCUGGCUUAGCGAAAAUUUCCACAUGCGAAAAUAUCCACUUUUACAGUACAUUAUACAUAGCAGGCAGGGUACUCAAAAAGUUUAUCCAUUGAGAUGUUAAAAGAUUCAGUCGUUGAAUUAAUAGUUUACUUACCUUACAAAAGCAAAAUUUGCACUUGUGAUCCUUGGCGAGAAAACAAAUACCUAGUAAUGCUCAUUUUGAUACCAAAAGAUGCAUAUGGUUAAUGAAACUGAGAGUGAUAUUUGUGCUGAAUUGAUGUAACAAAAUUUAUUUUACUUUAGAUUAAUUACAUUCCAGUUUACUGUAUUGAUACCAGUACUGAUGUUUCAAACCAAAACAAGGUAGAUGUGUUGAGUGAAUAGACUGUAUUUCAUUAAAGUCCUGUGUUAUCAUUGAGCUGUUCAAUGAAAUACCUCCGGAGUAUCUGAAGAAGGAUUAUGGGACCCUUACCAUUUAAAUUGUUUUAAAGUUAAAAUGCCUAGUGUAUUUCAACAGUACAAGACAUGCCAGUAUUCAAAAUAAUUAUAUAUCAAUGAUAUUUUAUAAUAAUUAUAUUUACUGGUACUUAUGAUUUGUCAGCAAAUUGAUUAGUUUGUUAUAUGUACAUUGCAAAGUUACUGAUCCGAGGACAUAUACUGUAAAUAUACCUAUUUUAGUGGUAAUCUGAUUAUGUACCUCCAAAAUGAAGUUAGGGCGGGGGUACUGGAAUCAGGUUGUACGUCCAUCCAUCUGUCUUUGUCAAGGAUUUGUCUGGUACACUAAAUUCCUACAGUUUUGAUAAAAUCUUUCGUGAAUCUUUGUUGAUGCAAUCAUGAUGCACUGAAGUUGUUUUUCAGCCUAUUUUUUACGGCAGUGAUAUACCUUUUAGUGUUGAUUGUAGACCGAAUCUUUAUAAUGUCGGUAGGUAGACCGAAUCUUUAUAAUGUCGGUAGGUAGACCGAAUCUUUAUAAUGUCCGUAGAACUCCUACAGCUGUUGUCCAAACAUCUCAAAACUGCACCAAUGUAGUUGGUACACACCGAUGUGCACAUGAGUUAACGUUUUUAUCCGUGUAUAUAUCCAUGUUUGUAGACAUAUAAUCUUGUCUGACCAACUCCUCCAUCAGUUUUCAUCCAAACCUUUUGAAAUUUUACUGAAUGUUCUGGCAUUAAUGCCCUUUUCCUGUGCUUGUAGACAGAAUCUUGUGUGGACAACUUUUCCCACAGCCAAAAUUCUAUAAACUUAAAUACUCAGCACACAAGCAUGUUCAAUCAAGUUCUGUACGUGUACUUACUGUUUUGUUCGCUAUUUUUCCCUUUUUUUUAUCUUUACUAACAAGUGACUGAUGUAGAGUGGGAAUCCAGAUAGAUUGAGGAGUGGAGAGUAUUAGUCAGCCAUCCUGGUGACAGUUCUAGUUGUUUAAUGGGUGGAGUUGGAAUCAGGGUAGAUUAAGGAGCGGGGAGUAUUAGUCAGCCAUCCUGGUGACAGUUCUAGCUGAAGACAUUGCCCUAUAUUAUCAUUCCGUUAAUCAAAGUUUUGACAUGUGUCCUGUAUUACAUGUAUCGUUAAUGCUCCAGUUCAUCAAUUUGCCAAUCUAUUUUGAUAACACCAAAGUUUGAACUCUUACUGUUUAAUAUAUUAUAUAACCCAGGUUAUUAUUGACAGGUUUAUCUUCAGCUAUUACGGCGCAUUCACCAUUCGGUGGACACGAGUAUAUAAACCAGGUGAAACUGCUUACAACAUAUUAUAGCGGCAUGUUUGAUGGCUAGAUAAAGCUACUUAAUAGGUUUUUGUAUAGGUUUUUGUAUUUAAAUCACAUUUUGUAGAGAAAUUAUCAUGUUUUGGUAUAUGUUCCAUAUGUUUCUGUAUGGUAGUAUAAACCACAGGGACUUGGUACAAGUUUCUGACCAUGAGUUCCAUAUACAUACUGUAGGUGUAUUAUACAGUAUACAUGUAUUUGGAACAUGGGGUUGAGAACGCGCCAAGUCCCUGUGAUAUACGAGCUCCAUUGUAGUAAGUACAGUAUUAUUUACAUCAUGUUAAUAAGGACUGAAUGCAUAAUUUUUCUAUUUUGGGCACUUUACAAAUACUGUUUUAUUUUACUAUCUAAACUGAAUUCAAAUGAAUAGUUUUACAUUUUUCUACUUUGUUAAAAUAUCAAAUUAAUUAUCUGUAGGCUUAAUAAUAAGAUAACAAAAAAUCUUGCAUAGAAAUCAAACUUUUACAACAGUAAUUUUAAAAUUUUACAAAGAAAGAAACACGAUUUAAAUUAAUCACUGUUGUUGGCCAGGUCAGCAAUGUGCACGGGGCUUACGCUUCGGUAAGAUGUACUUGGGGAAAACCCAUGACAUCACUCUGGUGACCUCAUUCCUCUUUUCACUUAUGAUCAUUGGAUACAACAUGCUGUCCUGGCGGAAAGCAGAUGCAUUACACAGCCAGACCACUGGCUCUAACUAGAACAUGUUGUUUCUGUUCAGAUUUGUAUGUGUUGGUUAUGUGCCAUAAUGGGUUACGUAUGAUUGGAUUAAUAUUAUUUUCUUCCAGGUUUUACAAUUUAUUUGGUUGUAUAUUUGUAUGUAAAACUAUGGUUAUUAUGUUAUCAAAUAAAAUACAAUUAAUAUUC